UGAAGACGACUCUCCUGUUGCAGGGGUUGGUCUGAACAGCACUCCAGAGGGAAUGUGAGCCUCACCCUCGUGUAUCCAUCGCUUUUGCUCGCCUGUUUCUUGCUCCUAGACCUGUUUUGUACUCUUUACUUCAACCUUUUACAGUGAAUGUGCUGAAUCAUGAAAUCUUACUGGAAGAAAGCAAUGUGUCUUGCACCCACCACUAACCAGCUCGCAUGUUCAGUAAGAGCCUAGGUGGCAACUCAGAGGCCAGCAACAGCGCAUACCAGCCUGAGGGGGCUGAGGCCCGGAGGACCCUGCAUGGAAACUUGGCAGCGUGGUGCCUCUGGUUCUGACGUUAAAUGUGUCCACCGAGGAUCUUCCCUGCAGGAGUGGAACGCCCAGAGGUCGGGAUCCACCCACCAGUCUCUUCAUCUGCUUUACACAGAGCCCGGAACAAUGUGGGGGCUCCGUAAAGAUGUGUACGACCGAUAAAUAUGCAAUUCAGUUCUGAAAACUUUAUGCUACGGAAAAUUUCAAACACACACAAAAGUUGAUAGAUCCCAAGUCUCCAUGUGCCCUCCUCCACCUUUGAUUAUUCUCAACAUUUUGCCAACUUGCUUCCACCAUUCUUUCCUCAUCAUUUGUUUUCUUAGAAACUGUAUUUGUAUAUUUACAGGAUCCAAAGCUAUAGAUGAAAAUGCACAAUCCUCGUGUCCAGCAUUCAGCCCCAAACUCCUCUUUUCCCCCUUACCUCACAUGUUCCAUGCUAGUCCAGGCGGGUCCUGCCGGCCCCGUGACCAGCUUCCUGCUCCCAUGUGAGUGCUGGGCUCUGUACCCUUGGCUUCUGGAAACUCUAGCCUUGGUCCUUAGUCCAGGGACUUAGUCGGGGAAAACCAGAAGACUGGAUUUCCUGGCCUCAUAAUCACUGGUUGAAGGCCUGCCCUGGGAAGAUACAACAUCCCAGGCACUUCCUGUGCUAGUUGCCUGUGGAAAUGUGGUUCCACCUGUGCAGAGCUGACCCUUGGAAGCAAAGGGCACAGCAAAGCUGGGGGGAUGGCGCAAUGUGGGACAGGAACCUGAGGAAUCUGUAGAGCACAUCUGUAACAGCAAGUACCCCAGGUGGGAUUGCCCAUCAAAAGUGUGUGUUAUAAGGGUGGACAG